UACGUAGGGUGCAAGCGUUGUCCGGAAUUAUUGGGCGUAAAGAGCUCGUAGGCGGUCUGUCGCGUCUGCUGUGAAAACUCAGGGCUUAACCCUGAGCUUGCAGUGGGUACGGGCAGACUAGAGUGCGGUAGGGGAGACUGGAAUUCCUGGUGUAGCGGUGAAAUGCGCAGAUAUCAGGAGGGAACACCGGUGGCGAAGGCGGGUCUCUGGGCCGUAACUGACGCUGGAGGAGCGAAAAGCAUGGGGGAGCGAACAGG
rnacentral:rRNA from 1 species